AGAAUCAACGCUGGCGGCGUGCCUAACACAUGCAAGUCGCACGAGAAAGGGAGUUCGCUCCUGAGUAAAGUGGCGCACGGGUGAGUAACACGUGAAUGAUCUACCUCUGAAUGGGGAAUAACUGAGAGAAAUCUUAGCUAAUACCGCAUAAUACCUACGGGUCAAAGCAGUAAUGCGUUUGGAGAGGAGUUCGCGGUCGAUUAGUUAGUUGGCGGGGUAAUGGCCCACCAAGACGAUGAUCGAUAUCCGGCCUGAGAGGGCGCACGGACACACUGGAACUGAAACACGGUCCAGACUCCUACGGGAGGCAGCAGUGGGGAAUUUUGCGCAAUGGGGGAAACCCUGACGCAGCAACGCCGCGUGGAGGAUGAAAUAUCUUGGUAUGUAAACUCCUUUCGAUGGGGAAGAUAAUGACGGUACCCAUAGAAGAAGCCCGGCUAACUUCGCGCCAGCAGCCGC
rnacentral:rRNA from 1 species